rnacentral:rRNA from 1 species
AUGCGGUCCUCCUCCACCUCCGUCCCAUGGCGCCGCGGCCCCCGUCGUUUCCCUGCCUCUCUAUUGCGCCAGGGACUCGAGCCUUCCACCGCACGUCGCCGCCUUGCUGCCUUCCCCGCCAUCGGCUGCUACCUCGCCGGAGCUCCUCCGGCCUCCCCGUCCUCUGCUCCGUCUCCUCGCGCCCCUGCCUUCUACGCCCACGCCGUCCUCCACCAGCAGCGUCGCCACCCUCGCCGGACCUCGUUCCUCAGCCCGCAGCCAUGGCCUCAAGUUCGUCAAGCCGCUGCUCCGCCUCACGCGCCUCUGCUCGCCCGCUAUGACUAG